AGCAUAUAGGAGGGGACUGAUUGAUUGGUGCCACCACACACCUGCGUGAAGUCGUCUUCACGCAGGUGUUUUUCAAUCAGCUGAUGACCGCUGAUUGCUUCCUCCCCUCCUCUUCUUAUUUAAUCUUACUCCAACCAACAGUUCCGUGAUGUCACUGUGAAGAGAAGCUGCACGAGCCGUGGAACGAAAAAAAAGGCGCGAAAAAAGUGUAUUCUUGUUGCUUAACUACUGAAACGGUUCCGGGAGGAGGGAACUUGUGGCGGUAAUGCACAAACCGCCAUAAAACCUCAAAAGAGAACGAGGGAACUUUAAAAAUAGAAGAGAAAAAGAAGAAAACUACCGCGGCGUGACGUCAGACGCCGAAAAUGUAGUCGCGUGCAUCAGCUCUUAUAUAAAAACGCAGCAAAGUGCUCCAGGAUGGCGUGUUCGACCUGGUCCAGAUUGGUGGCCCGUCCAGAAUGGAACUUCCUGCUCACAGAGACCAGGUCUGACACGCCAUAUACAAAAGCCUGAGGCUGUCAAAAAAAGAUUGAUCUUCAUGAAGAUCGUCAAAGAGUAGGUGUGAUGGUUUAAUUCUGGGUGGCCGCCGUGUCCCCACUCUUUCUUGGCCGCUGUGCCUACAUCUCUCUGCCUUGUCCAACAUGGCCACGUUCUCUCUAUUCUCCUGCUUUACAUCUGUCAGAUAGCUGAGGGUUGUACAUGGAGCAUACGCCACAGGUUGGUUUUGUAUGUUCCGGUCCACUUUAUUGGGUGGUCUGAUCUGGUCCUUGUUGGUUAUAUGUUUGUAGAACUGCUGAGCGAGUGAUUUGAAAGAGUGAGGUGACUGAUGGAGUGUUUGAGAUUCUCUCUCUGAAUGAAGGUGUUGUGUGUGACUGAGAUGCCUGGAUUGAAUAGUUAAGAUGGUGUGAGAAUAUGAUUAUGUUCAGCAGUUCACAUUAAAGUAGAUCUGGUGUCUUGAAGGGCUUAGAUGCUUGAUAAGUUAUAAUGCACUAACAUUUCCUUUUUAGGUCCGUCUACAAAGGGUGAGUCCAUUUUUUUUGUGUCUUCUCUGGGGGGGGGGCUACCUUCUUGCCCUCCAUGUGUGCUAGGGUUUGCAGAGUAGGGGAAUAAACAAAAGAAAACUUGUGUGUUGUGUUUUUUGAAAGUGAAGGUACUUAGGUGUUGGCAACUGACUUGCUAGUCUGGCUGCUCACAGCUAACUACUGGAUCACACUGACAAUUUACAUGCAAAGGUAAGAACACGCCUCUCUAUGGAGGUGUUUUCUUGCCCUUAACCACUUUUUCUUUCCAACUGUUUCUUAAGACAGUAAGUAACACGCAGGCCGCGGGCCAUCGCUGUUCCGGCCGCCGUGUCGAUCUGUCCUGGCCCUCCUCGUGCCUUUCCUCACUUCUAAAAGGGAAAAAAAGUUUUCAUUAGCACUAAACUAUAGUGAUGUUGGAGGACCAGAUCUUAAAUGAGGUUUAAAUAGAUGUUGGUGUACGGUUAAAACUAGAUGGUAGGAAUAAAGUUAAUGUUGUGCCUUUGUACGCUCUGUCACAAGGUUUAGACUUCUUGGCCGCUGUGCCUUUUUUUUUUUUCCUCUCUCACUUUUCCAACGUGGCCAUUAAUCUACCAUUAGCCCUAGAACGUUAAAGUAGAUCCUGGUGAUCUACAAACAUAGUACCUGGCUUUGAAUGGCAGCCCUGCCAUAGCCUUAGUAUGGCCAUUACGUCCUUUAAUGCAAGUAGGCUAUGAUCGCUAACUGUGCCCGCGCCUUCGUGAUCUACUUGUGUUCUUGUACGUGUGGCCUUGCGCGUAUAGUCAUUUUAUAUAGACAAACAUGGGUGCCUUCCGCGUCCAUGCACAGUAAGUGAACUAACCUGUACUUUUCUUCUAGCAUCAGUCAAGAGGAGCACCGACAUCCCUGCAUGUCCAUCUUAAUUAGAUUGCGUUUUAGUUACAAUAAAAUUUCAAAUGUUAAGUAGUUUUUCUUUCUUGGCCGGUGUGUGUGUGUGUGUGUGUGUGUGUGUGUGUGUGUGUGUGUGUGUGUGUGUGUGUGUGUGUGUGUGUGUGUGUGUGUGUGUGUGUGUGUGUGUGUGUGUGUGUGUGUGUGUGUGUGUGUGUGUGUGUGUGUGUGUGUGUGUGUGUGUGUGUGUGUGUGUGUGUGUGUGUGUGUGUGUGUGUGUGAGAGAGUGUGAGACACCAAGAGUAACACUCCAAUUGAGUUUGCUGCACCAGAAAGGUGAACAAAAUUUAUGCUGCAAGACUGGGAAGAUACACACUAAUAAGACAACAUUCAAAUUCUUUCAAAAACAGGUAAAAUGUUUACCUUUCAGGUAAGUAUUGAAGGCCUUUGCCACAUGAUCUUUGUAGGUAAAUCGUGUCCACUUCAUUUAUAAAGUUAAUUUGCAUCUACACAUUUACAAUGCCUGACACAAUGGCAUUACAAUAAUCUAAUUUUUAGUUUUGCGUUACUGAGUGCAAAGGCCUUUGUUUACACACUGACGCAUGCCAAGACAUGUCAUGGCAUGUGUCACUGUCUCUCUCGCUGUUCUGUGUGUCUUUCUGUCUGGUCUCUCUGUCUUGUGUGUCUGGUAUCCGUCUGUCUGUCCUGUGUGUUUGGUAUCUGUCUGUCUUGUGUGUCUCGUAUCCGUCUGUCUGUCCUGUGUCAGAUUUAGUCACUUUCUUAGUCUCAACUUAAAUGGAUGAUUUAAAGUUGAUUAGUUUGAGGCGUCUGAUUUCUGCAGGAAAUUCUGGUAUCUUAUAUUGAAAUGGCUUUAAUUUAAAAAUGUAAUUUUGGUCUUGAAUCUCAGAUAUCAUAGUUGCAACUUGGGUUGUUGACAAACGUGGAAGCUGAUGAAUCGUGUUGUAAAUGCAUCAAAGUUUACUGUAGCUUGUUUAAAGUUCUUUCAAAGUGCUGUAAACAUGUAGUAAUUGAUUAUGAUGAGCUAGACCAGUCAAGAGUCUUCCUUUAUUCUCAACUGGUAAUUGCUUUGAUAAGACAACUGGUUCCUGAUUUGAUUAUGAAGCUAAACAUUUGAUUUAUAUGUAGGUGCAGUCACAUCAGAUUGUAGGUGUUAUUCAGCCCAUGGAUAAUGUUAUGAUAUACUUUAAAUCUGGCAUUUGUUUGCACACUUUUGUUAUCCAUUUAAGUCUUAAACUUAACGCACUGCCAUCAGCCUUUGUAGUCGCUAACUGAAAUCAAAUUCAAUAUUAAUGCUGACUUGUCUCACUCUGCCAAGUUUAUUUCCCUCUAAAGGAGUUGAACCUUUUUGUGUUCAUAGUCUUUUUGCGCGUCAUGGUGGGAGGCCUCCCAGCAGGGGAUUUUUAUCUUCCCCUGCAAAACUAUGCGUUACUCGUCUUAGGGAUGCCGGGCUAUCCUGCAUAGUUUCUUUCAUAAAUUAGAUUGUAGGUUUCAGGAUUAGAACGCGUUUCUUUUCUUUAGGAGGACACAAACCUGGCAGAGGGACAACUUGGAUUAUUUAAGUCAAAGUUGCGCCAAAUUUUCCAACUUUUUAUCUUUCGAUACGAUGACUUGAAAUAAAACCUUUAUUCUGUGGGCUGAAUUCAGACAGAAUUUGGCUUUAUGUUAAAGACUGUUGUGCAGCUGCAGCUUUUUAAUGUAUUUUUGGUUGUUUGAUUUGUUUCUUGGAUUGACUUGGUGUCUGGAGCUUUGUGGUUAACGAUGAUCAUGUAAACAUGUAAACACAAGUGGUUUUUUGCCUCUUAUUUGUGAAGCUGGCAGCUGGUUGAAAUGAUAGGAUUUUAUGGCUUAUCCAAAGUGGGAUUUUUGAUAGAGCAUAGGGUUAACACCUCACUAUACACUAGAGUCUCUAGGAAGAUGCUUAAUCCCAAUGUCUUGGUUGGUUGCAUGAGAAACUUCUAUCUCUUAGAUGUGUUGGCGAAGUUCCUUCUCUGAUUUUUGUAGACUUGCCCUAAAGUUUCUCUCCGCUUUAACUCUUGCUGAACUAUGCAUUAAAUGAUUCCUCCAACUUGUCUCCAUAUCAAUUGUUUUCUCCCUGCAGACUUCCACCACCCACUGCUGCUGUUGCAUCUGCUAAAGGUAGCCGUAUCCUGAUUCACUGCGUCUUCAUGUGUUGGGUAAGAAGUGUCAUUAGACUACUAACAAUGUAAACACCUUUUAAAUGCUUGAUCUAAUUUACCCAAAUGCUUCAUCAGUUUAGGACAGACAAUCAUUGAAUUUGACAUUGUUGGGGUCAGUAAUCUGACCUCGAAAUGUUUGGGAAACCAUGCAAAAGAUCGCAAGCUCUCUGCAUGACCCAACAGCAUCGAUGUUUGAGUUAUUUAAUUGCUCAAUUUUUAAAUCAGUCAAGAUUUUAUGAGCUGGAUCUUCUUCACACAACAGAGAACGAGGUAAAUUGAGUCGACUCGUAACAUGGUAAGGCAUUUCGUCCUUCCCCUUCUUCUCUUUGUGUGAGGAAAUCUGGCCACGGAUCCUGACUGAGUGGCAUACCAUGACUGUGCAGUUUCCAAAAUCAGACAAGGAUCCAUCUGAUUUUCUAAAUCAGCCUGUCAUGAUAUGCAUUAAUCUUCCUCUGAAACAAAGGAUUGGAAUGGACAGGUUUGUAGUGUAAAUCACAUCACAUGUAGAUGGUGAAGCAUUUGUUUAAAUUGGAGUCAAGCAUUUUCAGGCGUCUGCUUUGUCAAUACUCUGGUGCCACGUCUUGUUAAACACACGAGAAGCUCUGAAUUGUGAAACUGCUGCCUCUUGCAGAUGUUACAACAGCAAUGGUUGUUGAAAGGCUGCAGGGAGAGAAAAUGAGAUCUGAGGACGGGAAAGUGGAAUUGAUUUCAUGCUUAGCAAAAUGAGAGUUUCAGCAGAAGACCUUUUUGAGGCGAGGCUAUGGAAUCAGAAGGAACGUUUGUCUGGGCAACUGGGAGAUUUACAGUUUUUCAUGCAGCCAACCAAGACAUUGGGGCAAAGAUUGUUUGUAACUGUCAGUGUAGGACAGGAAAGGCAGGUAUAGGUUAGGGAGGGAAUCCAUCGGUGAGCUCUGCCUGGAUGUGAGGACCUGUCACACUUGACCAGAGAUGAACGCUACAGCACAUUCCUCCAUGUUGGACACCACGACCUGAAGAAGUCCCGUCCUCGAUGGCUGCGGUGAUGACCUAGCCCAAAAUGAACUGACCCUUCUACGACGAGGACUUCGCCCAAGAUGAACCAACCUUUUCUGCCUCUUUUCCACGGGAUGUCUUCAGAUGGUGGACCUUGCCAAACUGUACACAUGCCUCAAUGGCUGCUACGUCACUCUGCCCAACAGGACAUGGUCACCAAGAUUUCUUUUUUUUUUUUUUUU